ensembl:misc_RNA Metazoa_SRP Metazoan signal recognition particle RNA
GCUGGGCGCUGUGGCAGGCGCCUGUAAUCCCAGCUACUCAGGAGGCUGAAGCAGGAGAAUUGCUUGAACCCAGGAGGUGGAGGGGCAGUGAGCUGAGAUCCCGCCACUGCACUCCAGCCUGGGUGACAGAGUAAGACUCUGUCUCCA